AAAAAGAUAAGCAUUGAGCUAACGUGUUGAGCAAAACAUGAAAAGAUGAAAAAGAUAGAAAAGAUAAAAAAACAAAAAAAAAAUAAAAUGAGAAGAAAAGCUCAAUGUAAAGAAAAGGGAAAGUUGGGAAUGAGUGAGAUUGGUUCUUUAAAGAGAGUUUGUCAGGGACACUUGCCAGGGACUUAACACCCAACAACAAAGGGUUUAGUUCGCGAUUGACAUGGUGAAACUAGAUGGAAUAAAAUGAAAGAAUGGAAGAAUACACCCUAAAUUUGGUAGAUUGGAGCCUAAGCAUCCAAGGAACUGCCUCCAAGGAGUGUAGAACAACUCUAGACGUCUCUGCCUGCCAAAAGAUUACAAACCCUAGGGUUUCCAAGUCUUUAAAUAGAACAUAAAAAUAACAGAAAACAAGUCCAAGCCCAAAAAGAUCAUAAAAAUCGCAGAAAACAGGUCCGGGCCCGCGUUUUGAGCGCUCAGCGCCUAAUUUAACCGCUCAGUGGUUUCUCUCUAAUCGCCAGACCGCUCAGCGGUCAAUUCUGGCGCUCAGCGCCACCGCUCAAUGCUUAGGUACCGUUCAAUGCUAGUGACUGGCGCUCAGGUGCCGCUCGAGCGCUACGGGUCUUUUCAGCACUUUGUUUUUCAGCACUCUGGUUGACUUUUCUACAUUCUGG
rnacentral:lncRNA from 1 species